rnacentral:rRNA from 1 species
UACGGAGGAUGCGAGCGUUAUCCGGAUUUAUUGGGUUUAAAGGGUGCGUAGGCGGACGCUUAAGUCAGCGGUAAAAUUGCGGGGCUCAACCUCGUCGAGCCGUUGAAACUGGGGGCCUUGAGUGGGCGAGAAGAAGGCGGAAUGCGUGGUGUAGCGGUGAAAUGCAUAGAUAUCACGCAGAACCCCGAUUGCGAAGGCAGCAUACCGGCGCCCUACUGACGCUGAGGCACGAAAGCGUGGGUAUCGAACAGG